CGCCGCGUCAGCGUGAGAGAUCGCGCUGAUGGGGAGGAAAGUCCGAACUCCGGAGGGCAGUGCGCCGGGUAACUCCCGGUCAGGGCGACCUGAAGGAAAGUGGCACAGAAAAUAUACCGCCGCGAUGUCGCAGCCCUCGCGGGCGCGCGUUGGGGUAAGGGUGAAAAGGUGCGGUAAGAGCGCACCGCGUUCGCUGUGAGGCGGAUGGCAGGCUAAACCCCGCACGGAGCAAGACCAAAUAGGGAGGCGCUUUUAGGACGGCCCGUCCGAAGCCUCCGGGUAGGUCGCUUGAUCCCGUCAGCAAUGACGGGACUAGAGGAAUGGUCGUCGCCCUAGCGCGACCGCUUCCGAGCAGUAGCCUAGGGACACAGAAUUCGGCUUAUGGCGCGC
rnacentral:RNase_P_RNA from 1 species